rnacentral:tRNA from 2 species
GGGGGUGUGGUCAAGGGGUAUGACAAGCGAUCCGCAUAUAACAGGACGCUUUUCGCUUAGCCUGGGUUCGAGUCCCAGCUCCUCCA